rnacentral:misc_RNA from 1 species
CAACAACUCCACAUCCAGCCUACCCCAGGCGUAGACUCCGGCCUUCACUAUGAGGUCUCACCUUCCGCCUCUAUCCAAACCCACCUAUCCACAACCCGAUGACGACUCCGACCCAUUAACCCGACCGGCCGCCGCCUCCGUCCUCCCGACUGUCCGCAAGAAAGGAACCGGGGUUCGGCCCUGGCUCCUCCUUGACAAUACCGGCCAGGCCCAGGUUGUGGAG